UUGAUUGGCCUCGCAGAAUAUGGAUCAGCUUUCUAAUUGGCCAGCCGGAAUAUGGGCCAGCUCUGAUUGGCUGCCACUUUCACAGGCCACUGGGAUCGCUGAGGGAAAAACUACUACCAACUGGCUUCGUUCGGCCUACUUCUCUCCUCAGAACGAUGCUAGCUCUGGGAGAGUUAACAGCCUCGGCCUACACUUUGGUAGCCUCGGCUUACACUUUGGUAAUCCAAAACACCACUGCCACCACCAGAAAGGCCGGACCUGGACCAAACCUGACACACAUCACCCCAUGAACCCACUGACAACGGAUGGCCCCCUUUGGCCCCUCUGCUGACAUGUUUAAGGCCUUCCAGGCUGGCCCCUCGCUGCUAGGCCGAAAAGGAAGAUGCCAUCUUGCCUCAGCUUUCAACUUCUUUGUAAGGCCCUACUUGCCUCAAAAGACAGCAGAGAACAUUGUUAUUAUCUUUUUAACGAUAUGCUUAUGAACACUUCUAGCCCCCAAAGCCCCAAUCCAAGCCUCCUUUGAUCAUUUUGCUAACACAUUUCAGGCCUUGCAGCCUGGCUCCAUUGUGCUAGGCCGCAAAAGAGGCAGCCAUCUUCCCUGUUCCACAUGGUUCCAAACAGCAGCUUUUGCCUGUGUCUUUUGGAUACAGCACUCUCCUUCAACAAGCAAGGCUCCUAAUAGCAAGACUCUGGAAAUAGACGCAAGCACCGACGAAAGAACAAUGGUUGGACAAAUUGAUGGAAAUUAAGAACAUGGACCAAUUAUCUUUUUUGAUCAGGAGAAGUAACGGCAAUACACUGAAAGCUACUGACUGGUCUAAUUUUGAGGACUACUUAAGGAAUAAAUAUAUAAAGGAAAAAUGAUUGACUUAACGAACUGAGAAGAACAAAAUCGGAAGUCAAACCACCUACCUCCCCAACCCCACCUCCCCUCCCCUAUAGUGUUCACCCCCUCACCUUUAAACCCUAAACCCAUUCUCUCCCCCUACCCUAUUCAUGUGUAUUCUCCAACUCAUCCCCAUCCCUAAAAGUGUUACUGUUUGUUUUCCUUGUUUGUCUCUUUUUUUGAGGAAAAUCACAAUAAAAAUUAUUUCAAAAAAAAAAAA